GUGGGGAGCAAGUUCUCUGAAUCGAGCGGUGUUGGUGUGGUGUCGCCUUCCCGCGCCCGCUAAAAGGGCGAUUGUCCGUUUGGACACAGAGAUGAAGAGUGACCACCUCAAGGCUCAGCAGGCCGCCGCGUGGUCGCGGCGGUUCGCUCUGCUGUACGCGUUCGGAGUAUGGACGGUUAUUGGCUUUUUCGUUAGCCGGUCGGUGCGUUUCAAGGAGAAGCCACUGAAAGAGGAGGAGAAGGGCGUCGCCACUCGAUAACAAGGAAUAUUCCAGACGUGUUUGACAGGAGCAGAAGAUCAAGACAGAAAUUGGAUUCACAUUAACAGCAAAAGCUAGUUCAUCAGAUUUUGUGCCAUGUUCUUCUCAUUUGUAUAAUCAAGUGUUGUCACUUUUUAAUGAUAAUACUGGGAAAGAAAAGUAAAUUAUGUUUAAAA